AGCUGCCGCGGUAAUUCCAGCUCCAAUAGCGUAUAUUAAAGUUGUUGCAGUUAAAAAGCUCGUAGUUGAAUUUCGGGAUCAAUAUUUCGGUCAUGCCGUUGGUAUGCACUGUUAUCAUCGAUUUCUCACCUUCUAAAGAACCGUAAUGCCAUUAAUUUGGUGUUACGGGGAAUUAGGACUGUUACCUUGAAAAAAUUAGAGUGUUUAAAGCAGGCUCACGCUUGAAUACAUUAGCAUGGAAUAAUGAAAUAGGACAUCCGAUUCUAUUUUGUUGGUUUCUAGGAUCGAUGUAAUGAUUAAUAGGGAUAGUUGGGGGCAUUAGUAUUCAAUUGUCAGAGGUGAAAUUCUUGGAUUUAU
rnacentral:rRNA from 1 species